rnacentral:rRNA from 1 species
AUUGAACGCUGGCGGCAGGCCUAACACAUGCAAGUCGAACGAGUGGCGGACGGGUGAGUAAUGUCUGGAAAUCUGAGUGAUGGACGGGGAUAACUACUGGAAACGGUAGCUAAUCCCGCAUAAUCUCAUCUGUGCCCAGAUGGGUUUAGCUCGUUGGUGGGGUAACGGCACACCAAGGAGACGCUCCCCAGCUGGUCUGAGAGGAUGACCGGCAACACUGGAAAUGGGACACGGUCCAGACUCCUACGGGAGGCAGCAGUGGGGAAUAUUGCACAAUGGGCGCAAGCCUGAUGCAGCAAUGCCGCGUGUGUGAAGAAGGCCUGCGGGUUGUAAAGUACUUUCAGCGGGGAGGGGUUACCCGCAGAAGAAGCCCCGGCUAACUCCGUGCCAGCAGCCGCGGUAAUUG